CCAAACCAACAAGCUUGCUUGUUGGGGUUGUAGGACACUCUAUACGGAGUUACAAAGGACGACAUUAGACGAAUCAUCUGGAAAGAUGAAUCAAAGAAGGUAAUAAUCCUGUAGUCGAAAAUGUUGUCUCUCUUGAGUGGAUCCUGAGUACGACGGAGCACGUGAAAUUCCGUCGGAAUCUGGGAGGACCAUCUCCUAAGGCUAAAUACUCUCUAGUGACCGAUAGUGAACCAGUACCGUGAGGGAAAGGUGAAAAGCACCCCGGAAGGGGAGUGAAAUAGAACCUGAAACCGUGUGCUUACAAGUAGUCAGAGCCCGUUAAUGGGUGAUGGCGUGCCUUUUGUAGAAUGAACCGGCGAGUUACGAUUUGAUGCAAGGUUAAGCAGUAAAUGUGGAGCCGUAGCGAAAGCGAGUCUGAAUAGGGCGUUUAGUAUUUGGUCGUAGACCCGAAACCAGGUGAUCUACCCUUGGUCAGGUUGAAGUUCAGGUAACACUGAAUGGAGGACCGAACCGACUUACGUUGAAAAGUGAGCGGAUGAACUGAGGGUAGCGGAGAAAUUCCAAUCGAACCUGGAGAUAGCUGGUUCUCUCCGAAAUAGCUUUAGGGCUAGCCUCAAGUGAUGAUUAUUGGAGGUAGAGCACUGUUUGGACGAGGGGCCCCUCUCGGGUUACCGAAUUCAGACAAACUCCGAAUGCCAAUUAAUUUAACUUGGGAGUCAGAACAUGGGUGAUAAGGUCCGUGUUCGAAAGGGAAACAGCCCAGACCACCAGCUAAGGUCCCAAAAUAUAUGUUAAGUGGAAAAGGAUGUGGCGUUGCCCAGACAACUAGGAUGUUGGCUUAGAAGCAGCCAUCAUUUAAAGAGUGCGUAAUAGCUCACUAGUCGAGUGACACUGCGCCGAAAAUGUACCGGGGCUAAACAUAUUACCGAAGCUGUGGAUUGUCCUUUGGACAAUGGUAGGAGAGCGUUCUAAGGGCGUUGAAGCAUGAUCGUAAGGACAUGUGGAGCGCUUAGAAGUGAGAAUGCCGGUGUGAGUAGCGAAAGACGGGUGAGAAUCCCGUCCACCGAUUGACUAAGGUUUCCAGAGGAAGGCUCGUCCGCUCUGGGUUAGUCGGGUCCUAAGCUGA
rnacentral:rRNA from 1 species